UACGGAGGGUGCAAGCGUUAUCCGGAUUCACUGGGUUUAAAGGGUCCGUAGGCGGUUUGGUAAGUCAGUGGUGAAAGCCCAUCGCUCAACGGUGGAACGGCCAUUGAUACUGCCAGACUUGAAUUAUUAGGAAGUAACUAGAAUAUGUAGUGUAGCGGUGAAAUGCUUAGAGAUUACAUGGAAUACCAAUUGCGAAGGCAGGUUACUACUAAUGGAUUGACGCUGAUGGACGAAAGCGUGGGUAGCGAACAGG
rnacentral:rRNA from 1 species